GAUCCUGGCUCAGGACGAACGCUGGCGGCGUGCUUAACACAUGCAAGUCGAACGAGAAUCACCGGAAGGAGUUUUCGGACAACGGAAGGUGAGGACAGUGGCGGACGGGUGAGUAACGCGUGAGGAACCUGCCUUUCAGAGGGGGACAACAGUUGGAAACGACUGCUAAUACCGCAUGACACAUAGAGAUCGCAUUGGUUUUUAUGUCAAAGAUUUAUCGCUGAAAGAUGG
rnacentral:rRNA from 1 species